UGGGCUGAUUAUACUCCCUGUCUGUGGCUC
rnacentral:piRNA from 1 species